GGGCCUCACCUGUAGCAUAUGGAAGUUCCCAGGCUAGGGGCUGAAUUGGAGCUACAGUUGUCGGCCUACACCACAGCCAUAGCAAUGCAGGAUCCAAGCUGCCCUGUGACCUACACCACAGCUCACAGCAAUGCCGGAUCUUUAACCCACUGAGUGAGGCCAGGGAUCGAAUCUGCAUCCUCAUGGACCCUAAGUCAGGUUCAUUAACCACUGAGCCAUGAAGGGAACUCCUGGGCUUUCUUUUCUUCUUACUCCUUUGGCCAAGGAUAAGGAGAGGGGUGGGAGGGUGGCGGGGGCGGGGGCAUACUCACCUCAAUCCCACAGGUACUUCUGUGGAGUUCCACCAGUGCCCUAGCUAGUUUGCACAAGAGAAAAGCAUGCUCCAGGGGCAGCUCCUCAUUGAAUUUUUCUAGUGCCCCUUACCUACCAGCCCCAGCCUGUAAUACCUCCAUGAAUUUCUACGCCAUUCAUUGGGUUACAGCUAUAAUGUCUUUAUCUCAGCCUUGGGACUUUGCCUCAGCCCUGGGGUAAGCCCUAGGCUGCUCUGUCUCUCUGCUAUUCUAGUAUUCUUCAAUGUUUGCUUUACCUCUGAAUUGCUGGUUCUAUGUUAUUAGUUUAUAAUUUUUGUAUUAAACUUCCCUUGCUCUAGUACCAUGUAGUUUUUGUUUUCUACCCUGAAUGACAAAGACAGAAUGAGAGGGAUCAUUUCAUACAACUUUAUAGACCAGAGAUUAGACCAGAGGGACCAGAAAAGUAAAAUGCUUUGCCCAAGUCACACAGCUAGUGAGCAGCAGAAUCAGAGGAUGUCACAUCAAUCAAUAGUCCUUAAGUAGUGGCUUCACUUUACUCACCUGGUAUAAGAGAUGCACUAAGAGAAUAGAUUAAUGAAUUAAGGCUCUGAGAGCAUGGCUUUGUUGAGGUAGAUCAGGAGGAGAAAGUACAAAGGCCCAGCAGUCUUUGAUGAAGGUGAAGAAAGUUAUCAUUGAAACAAGAAAAGUACACAGUUAGGAGAGGUGACGACCUCUUAGCAAAGAAUCUGCUAGUUAUUUCACAACCAAACAGGUUAACCCAAUAGCUUGACUUCAGGCCACAGAUGUCUACAGGAUUUGGAGGUAGUUUCUUAAGGGUAUUUGCCUUCCAGAUUCCUGAGCCUGGAGCAUCCUUGGCCAAAAGUCAUGUCUGUGUAUCCCAGUGCCCACUCACCCUGUUUUCAGAUCACCCAGGCUGCCUGAAUAUGGCAACAUCCCUGGAAGGGUCCUCAUUGGUCUGUGGUGUCUUAGAGGAGGCAGCUCUCUGUUGUGGGUGGAAACUAGUGGCAACAGAAAGGGCCUCUCCAGAACUAGCCAGUCUCCCACCCAUGUUCAUGAGAGAUCCCCACAAUCCAUAAAGCAAUGGUUUGGACUUUGUAAUUAACAGUCUUUUACAAGAUGGUUUUGAUGUGGUGGGUGCCAAUACCCAGUCUCUUUGAAGCAGGAAGCCAAAGCCCAGGAGCUGCUUCUAAUUUUUAAUUAGGGCAUGUUUUGAUAGCUAGAGAAGAAAGGCCUAUCUAGCACUGUAAUUGAAAUGAGAAGGUGGUGGGAAGUGUUAGCCUCAGGCAGACAUAUUUUACACAAGUUGUUUGACAAGGCCAGUUGUCAAAGGGACAGAAUUCUAGGAGUAGUGUGGAAAGGAACUAGCCUUGAAGUCCAGCUCCUAGAUGUCAAGUUCUAGUUCUCUUACUAACUGGUUGUAUGAUCCUAGAGGCUCUUGGAAGAAAAUGGGAAAGUAUCCCUCCUCUUCACCCACUGCUCCGUUCAAGAAAUUGACUACUGUGUGAUGCAGAAUAAAUGUUACUCUUUGAAAGAACGAGGGUUUUACUUUGUACCUAUCCAGGAAAAAAUGACCCAAAGUGCUUUUCAUGUGCAUUCAUUCAUUCAUUCAUUCAGUUAUUUUCUGAGCACCUUUCAGGGCUGAGAGAAGCAGCCAAGUCCUAAUCAUCUUUCAGGUUCACACUCAAAGCUCUCCUCGACAAGCUUUCCUCCUCAACUGGCACACCCUCCUUCUCUUCUGUACUCAUGACACAUGUCUGUUUAACUCAUUUCAUCAUUCUUUCCAAAAGCUGUAGAGUUCAGCAAUUAAAUUUUUACUUUAUAUCUCAAGCCUUCCUCUUAGAGUCUUAAUUCAUUAAUUCAUUAAUCCAUUCAUAGAGACAUUUGCCAUGUCUCUAUAACUAGACUAUGAGAUGUCAAGGGUAGGAACUGGAUCUUACACUUUGUGUCUCCCAGAGUCAAGUUCAGUGUCCCGAAUAUGCUUAGUGCCCAAUUAAUGAUCCUUAACUGAAUGAUCUAUAAGUACUGUGGACAUACAAAGGCAUGUAAGGGAAGGUUCUUGUCCUCAGGAAGAAUUCAGUCUAAAUGAAGGAUAUAGUCCAACCUGAAGAGUUAAGUGACAAUGUAAGCAAUAUCCCUUGGCCUGUGAUUCACUGUAAAUAAAUGCAAUAGCCCGGUGAUUCCCGAACAUUGGACUUUGGAUCCUUUGUAAUUUAUGGGUUGUACUAAGCAUCAAAAAUCUUUACAUCUAUAAGAUGACUCAGGCACAUUUCAGAAGAUGCAUUAUUUACUUUUCAAGUAUAUAUUAUGAUUGGAAACAUAUAUAGUCAAUAUAUAAAGCCUAGCAAUAUAUGAAGCCCAGUAUUUCAUGCUGUCUUUUGGUCAUUGUGAACUUUUAAAAUAGGUGCUAAAAGAACAAUUAUUGACAUGUGGGUUAUGUGAACAUUUCUUGAAAUUAAAAAAGAGAGAUGAUCAUACCCAAAUAGGAUACAACAAAAAAAAAUUGUUUGUAAAAUUUCUUCUUUCUACAAGAGAUGACACUUCAUUCUCUCCCUGUCUAACCUUUCCUUUUAGACUAAACUUGGCCAGUGAAUCCGAUUUCUUUCUUUGAACUUGGUUUCACUCACAUCAAAAUGCUACCUGUUGGCUCCCCUACACUGCUGGGAGGAGCUCACAUAAUAUGACCCAGCUCUUUGGGAAAACAUCGGCAUAAAGGAUCACAAUGCUUGAAAAUAUUCAUUGCCUUUUAUCUUAUAAUCUUACUUCCAGAUAUCAAUCUUAAGGAAGUAAUUCUAAAUGUCAUUAAAGAUUCAAUCAUAAAGAUGGUCAUCAAGUGGUAUAAUUUAGAAUUGCAAGAUAUUAGAAGCAACCUCAGAAUAGGGGAAUGGUUAAGUCAUCGUUUAUUGAAACAGUGAAACAGUGUGUUGACAAAUGAUCUUAAAGAGUUUGAAAUAAAAGCCUGGAGGAGUUCCCGUCAUGGUGCGAUGGAAAUGAAUCCCAUUAGGAACCAUAAGGUUGUGGGUU
rnacentral:lncRNA from 1 species